rnacentral:rRNA from 1 species
UACGUAGGGGGCUAGCGUUGUCCGGAAUCAUUGGGCGUAAAGCGCGCGUAGGCGGCCAGAUAAGUCCGGUGUGAAAGUCACAGGCUCAACCUGUGAAUGCCGCUGGAAACUGUCUGGCUAGAGUCCGGAAGGGGCGAGUGGAAUUCCUGGUGUAGCGGUGAAAUGCGUAGAUAUCGAGAGGAACACCUGCGGCGAAGGCGACUUCCUGGCCUGUUCUUGACGCUGAGGCGCGAAAGCUAGGGGAGCAAACGGG